rnacentral:sRNA from 1 species
CUCAGGCUUAGGCUUAGGCUCGGACUUAGGCUCAGGCUUAGGCUUGGGCUUA